rnacentral:misc_RNA from 1 species
GAUGAAGAACGCAGCGAAAUGCGAUAAGUAAUGUGAAUUGCAGAAUUCAGUGAAUCAUCGAAUCUUUGAACGCACAUUGCGCCCGCUAGUAUUCUGGCGGGCAUGCUUGUCCGAGCGUCAUUUCAACCCUCAAGCCCCCGGGCUUGGUGUUGGGGAUCGGCGAGCCUCCGCGCCCGCCGUCCCCUAAAUCUAGUGGCGGUCUCGCUGUAGCUUCCUCUGCGUAGUAGCACACCUCGCACUGGGAAACAGCGCGGCCACGCCGUUAAACCCCCAACUUCUGAACGUUUGACCUCGGAUCAGGUAGGAAUACCCGCUGAACUUAAGCAUAUCAAUAAGCGGAGGA